UNGACCAGGCUGACCUCAACCUCAUAGAGAUC
rnacentral:piRNA from 1 species